rnacentral:rRNA from 1 species
UACGAAGGGGGCUAGCGUUGCUCGGAAUCACUGGGCGUAAAGCGCACGUAGGCGGAUUGCUAAGUCAGGGGUGAAAUCCUGGAGCUCAACUCCAGAACUGCCUUUGAUACUGGCGAUCUUGAGUCCGGGAGAGGUGAGUGGAGCUGCGAGUGUAGAGGUGAAAUUCGUAGAUAUUCGCAAGAACACCAGUGGCGAAGGCGGCUCACUGGCCCGGUACUGACGCUGAGGUGCGAAAGCGUGGGGAGCAAACAGG